CGCAGCCUGGGGCCGGCGCCACUGAGCUCACAUGUCACCACCCCCCUACAUACCAGAGACCCUCUGGGCCAGCCUCGGAUGCACACAGGAUGGUGAUCUCCCAGAAUUCCAGGAGCUGUGGUGCUGGGGGAGCAGGCCUGCUGGGGGUCCCCUUCUUUUCGGAGAGCUGGCUGCCGCUUCUUGUUUUCAUUGGCUGGGCUUCUGGCUCAGGUCUGCAGGCAAACAGGCAAGAAUGAAGAUUAGCCCUGAGCUGACAUCUGCUGCCAAUCCUCCUCUUUUUCCUGAGGAAGACUGGCCCUGAGCUAACAUCUGUGUCCAUCUUCCUCUACUUUAUACGUGGGAUGCCUACCACAGCAUGGCUUGCCAAGCCGUGCCAUGCCCACACCUGGGAUCCGAACCGGCAAACCCUGGGACGCCAAAG
rnacentral:lncRNA from 1 species